UGGGGAAUCUUGCACAAUGGGCGAAAGCCUGAUGCAGCGACGCCGCGUGAUUUAGAAGGCCUUCGGGUUGUAAAAAUCUUUUGUAUGGGAAGAAAAUGACAGUACCAUACGAAUAAGGACCGGCUAAUUACGUGCCAGCAGCCGCGGUAAUACGUAAGGUCCGAGCGUUGUCCGGAAUCAUUGGGCGUAAAGGGUACGUAGGCGGAUAAGCAAGUUAGAAGUGAAAUCCUAUAGCUCAACUAUAGUAAGCUUUUAAAACUGCUCAUCUUGAGGUAUGGAAGGGAAAGUGGAAUUCCUAGUGUAGCGGUGAAAUGCGCAGAUAUUAGGAGGAAUACCGGUGGCGAAGGCGACUUUCUGGCCAUAUACUGACGCUGAGGUACGAAAGCGUGGGUAGCAAACAGG
rnacentral:rRNA from 1 species